AGAACGAACGCUGGCGGCAUGCCUAACACAUGCAAGUCGAACGAACCCUUCGGGGUUAGUGGCGCACGGGUGCGUAACGCGUGGGAAUCUGCCCUUCGGUUCGGAAUAACAGUUAGAAAUGACUGCUAAUACCGGAUAAUGUCGCAAGACCAAAGAUUUAUCGCCGAGGGAUGAGCCCGCGUAGGAUUAGCUAGUUGGUGAGGUAAAGGCUCACCAAGGCGACGAUCCUUAGCUGGUCUGAGAGGAUGAUCAGCCACACUGGGACUGAGACACGGCCCAGACCUCCGUACGGGAGGCAGCAGGUGGGGAAUUA
rnacentral:rRNA from 1 species